UCUCACUCUGUCACCCAGGCUGGAGUGCAGUGGCACAAUCAUGGUUCACUGCAGCCUGGACGUCCUGGGCUCAAGCGAUGCUCUGAUGCUCCAGAAAUGGGAAAGGUUCCCCUGUCCCCCUCACAGGGUGUGUGAUCUGGGGAGUGGCUCCCUUCUUCGGUGUCCCACUGCUCAAAUCUCUAGGCACAAUCCUGAGUUACUCCGCCGCUACUGAGUGAACCCAGUGAAUGUAGUGGAUGGCCCAGUACCGACGUCCCAGGACUGCUGGCUGUUCUUUCCUGGUUAUGACAGACAUAGUAACUAAUAAAGUGAUUUAAAACGUUCUUUGUAAAUAAAUGCUCUGAAAUCAUGACGCUGACCCUCUCAAAUGUCUAAGGAGGGACUCUCCAUGAGUGACAUGCUUUGUGUUAAAAGUAUUUAUUUGCAAUCAGGGACUUCGGUCUGUGGUGGCCGUUUCUAAAAGCUGUCUAACAUGUCUUUAAAUACCAUGCCCGGAAGUGGCUUCCGUUUAUGGAAGUCUCAGUUUCUGGUUUCUGGAAGUU
rnacentral:lncRNA from 1 species